CAGUCCCGCGGUAAUACGAGGGGUGCAAGCGUUAUUCGGAUUGAUUGGGUGUAAAGGGUGUGCAGACGGCUUAUUAAGUCACUUGUUAAAUUCUUCGGCCUAACUGAAGGUCUGCAAGUGAUACUGAUGAGCUAGAGGGUGGAAGAGAGAAGUGGAAUUCUCGGAGUAGCGGUAAAAUGCGUAGAUCUCGAGAGGAACACCAAUGGCGAAGGCAGCUUCUUGGUCCAUUCCUGACGUUCAUACACGAAAGCGUGGGGAGCAAACAGGAUUAGAUACCCGCGUAGUCCCUGUCUCUUAUACA
rnacentral:rRNA from 1 species